rnacentral:lncRNA from 1 species
AGCCUGUAAUUCCAGCUACUUGGGAGGCUGAGGCAGGAGAAUCGCUUGAACCUGGGAGGCGGAAGUCACAAAUUCCUGGAAGUAGAGCUGGAAACAGCAGAUGCAUGUUUAAUAAUUUACCUAAAGACUUGUUAUAUAUUUAUACUCUGCUUUAUGCCUGCAAAAUUAUACUUGGAGCUUGCAGUGAGCCGAGAUCCCGCCACUGCACUCCAGCCUGGGCGACAGAGCGAGACUCCGUCUCAAAAAAAAAAAAAAAAAAAAAAUGGUUUUGGCUUGCUUUUUAAACAUUCAAAUUAGUAUGUGAGUCCUUAAUCCUAUUCCAAAUAUUGCCAAGGAAAGGGACGACAGAAGUACCUUGGGCCAAAUAAUGGUGCUCACAAACACAUAUUUUCAGUAUGAAAUUUCUCCAUUCGCAUUACUUCAUGCAAAAAAAAAAUGACAC